AGAGAGGAGAGCAGACGCUCAGCUGGGUACGCAGCUCAGGCAGAGCUGUACCUCGGAAGAGCUACAGCUCCCUCUUCAUGUCACUGCUGCGAGAUGAGGAAAGCUGUCAUUAUGGCCGAGUUGGAAGAGUGGAGAUGCACUGGCACAGGUCACUAUCCCUGGAGGCAAUCAAGAACUGUGGAGAUGUGGCACUGAGGGGCAUGGUGGAGACAGAUUGGACACAAUGAACUUAAUGAUCCUUUCCAACCUUGAUGAUGCUGUGAUGCUGUGCAGACUUUUGUGAUCCUCCACAUGCAGUCAUACUGCUUGGAAAUUAUCCCAAAAGUUAGGAAAGCAAAGUAGAACAGCUGAUCACACAUUUCCUGAGUCAGCAGUCAAAAAUACGAAGGAAUAUGAAACCUACUCAUUGAGAAAUAGUAUCUGGUGAGAUUUGGUGGGACAAAUUGUCCUGUAUUGGCAGUUAAAACUGUUCAGCUGAACUCUGGCUUGUAGGAAUGUUGUCUUCUGCAAAAUACUGCUUGUUCGUUGAUCAAUAACCUGAAACUGUAAAGACAACAAGGGCUAAACUCUGUCUCCAGCUCAUUUGUGGAUUGAGCUCAGUCCAACAAACAUUUGUUGUGUUUCCAUUGCUGAACCAUGUUUCUAAGGAAAAGCCUAUGGAGUUUUCUCUGCAGGAUCCAACAUUUACUUAUAAUGCAGAUUCCAAAAUGAUGCCUCU
rnacentral:lncRNA from 1 species